rnacentral:lncRNA from 1 species
AGAUCCGUGUUUGUUGGAAUUUUCGGAAGUCAAGUCGCGGAUCGCUCACAACACAAGCUUUCGCUGCCUUAGCUUUCAAGUUCUUAUCCCAUGGGAGAUGCCUGAUGUUCUGAACGGCGUCCUCGCACCAGGCUACCUGGUAUAUUCAAUGAUGCGUACAGGAAUAUUCGCAUUGGUUAGAUAUGAGCAGUUCUGGAACGUGGGGACCAGCUAAAUGAAUUGCUAUGGUUGAAAUUGUUGGAUGGCGAACCUCUGAGCACUGAUAACGACCUAAUUUCCCCUUCCAGUGGCGAGUCCAAGCUGCCAAGUAUAGCUUUCUCAACUGCUAGGUUUGAAUCUCUCAUAAAAACUUCGUAUUGGACACAAGGUUGAAGGGAUUUGCCAAACG